rnacentral:rRNA from 1 species
UUAAAAUAUAAAUAAAAAUAUUAGAUUAUUAAUAGAUAUAUUCUUUAAAUUUAAAAAAUUUGGCGGUAUUUUAAUCUAUUCAGAGGAACUUGUUUUAUAAUUGAUAAUCCUCAUUUUAUCUUACUUAAUUUAAUUAAAUUUAUAUAUCGUUGUCAUAAGAAUAUCUUUAAAAAGAAAAAAUUUUCUAAUUUAAAUAUUAUUAAAAAUGUCAGAUCAAGGUGUAGUUUAUAAUUAAGUAAAAAUGAGUUACAAUAAAAUUAUUUAUUAUGAAUUAAAAAUUUAAAUAUUUUUAUGAAGGUGGAUUUGAUAGUAAAUUUUUUUUAAUAAAAAAAUUGAUGAUAGUUCUAAAAUAUGU